rnacentral:rRNA from 1 species
UACGUAGGGUGCGAGCGUUAAUCGGAAUUACUGGGCGUAAAGCGUGCGCAGGCGGUUAUGCAAGACAGAUGUGAAAUCCCCGGGCUCAACCUGGGAAUUGCAUUUGUGACUGCACGGCUAGAGUGUGUCAGAGGGGGGUAGAAUUCCACGUGUAGCAGUGAAAUGCGUAGAGAUGUGGAGGAAUACCGAUGGCGAAGGCAGCCCCCUGGGAUAACACUGACGCUCAUGCACGAAAGCGUGGGGAGCAAACGGG